rnacentral:rRNA from 1 species
CAGCCGCCGCGGUAAUACGGAAGGUUCGGGCGUUAUCCGGAUUUAUUGGGUUUAAAGGGAGCGUAGGCCGUUUGGUAAGCGUGUUGUGAAAUGUAGUAGCUCAACUUCUAGAUUGCAGCGCGAACUGUCAGACUUGAGUGCGCACAACGUAGGCGGAAUUCAUGGUGUAGCGGUGAAAUGCUUAGAUAUCAUGAAGAACUCCGAUUGCGAAGGCAGCUUACGGGAGCGCAACUGACGCUGAAGCUCGAAGGUGCGGGUAUCGAACAGGAUUAGAUACCCUGGUAGUCCGCACAGUAAACGAUGGAUGCCCGCUGUUAGCACCUAGUGUUAGCGGCUAAGCGAAAGCAUUAAGCAUCCCACCUGGGGAGUACGCCGGCAACGGUGAAACUUAAAGGAAUUGGCGGG